rnacentral:misc_RNA from 1 species
GAGAGUAGGUUAUUGCCAGGGUUUUUAUUUUGUAAUUUAAACCUUAAAUUUAUUUUUUAUAUUUUUUUAAUGUUUAUGUUUUUGAAUGUUUUAUUCAAAUAAUGUAAAAAAUAAAAUAGAUAUUGACAUGGAUUGAACAAAAGAUAUAUAUUAUUUUAUGUUGCAUAAACAAAUUGGCAAAAUAGAGAUGGAAGAUAAAAAUA